rnacentral:lncRNA from 1 species
GAGGAGACCGGCAGGGAAGCUCCCAGACAGAGGCUCCAAGUUGGGAAAGAGCUUGAAAUGUGGGGAAAGAGAGGAGCUGCUGUGAGCUGAAACAACUACGAUGGGCGGGUCCUGGGUGCAGAAACAGUGACGAUGGGGACCUACCCACCCACCUACAGGCGAAGAGGACUCCUGCUUGCUUUCUCACAGAUCUGCAAAUGCAGGGAUGGAAACUGCAAGGAAGAAGGACCCCCAAUGCUGCAUCUCCAAUGUUCUUUGCCAUGCACCUCCAGGGGAAUGGGUUCUUGAUAUCAGCUGCACUUGAUAUCAGGCACUGAGGGCAGAGGCCUCUCCAUGACAGUUUGAGCCCCUGAGAAUGACAUAUCGGAGAUCAGAAGGCAAACUGGGA